AGCAGCCGCGGUAAUUCCAGCUCCAAUAGCGUAUAUUAAAGUUGUUGCAGUUAAAAAGCUCGUAGUUGAAUUUCGGGGUCGGUAGGUUGGUCAUGCCUCUGGUAUGCACUGGUCUCACUGAUUCCUCCUUCCUGAUGAGCCGUAAUGCCAUUAAUUUGGUGUUGCGAGGAAUCUGGACUGUUACCUUGAAAAAAUUAGAGUGUUUAAAGCAAGCUAACGCUUGAAUACAUUAGCAUGGAAUAAUGGAAUAGGACGUUCGAUCCUAUUUUGUUGGUUUCUAGGAUUGACGUAAUGAUUAAUAGGGAUAGUUGGGGGCAUUAGUAUUCAAUUGUCAGAGGUGAAAUUCUUGGAUUUAUUGAAGACUAACUACUGCGAAAGCAUUUGCCAAGGAUGUUUUCAUUAAUCAAGAACGAAAGUUAGGGGAUCGAAGACGAUCAGAUACCGUCGUAGUCUUAACCAUAAACUAUGCCGACUAGGGAUCGGAUGAUGUUAAUUUUUUAAUGACUCAUUCGGCGCCUUACG
rnacentral:rRNA from 1 species